GACGAACGCUGGCGGCGUGCUUAACACAUGCAAGUCGAACGGAAAGGCCCUGCUUUUGUGUGGUGCUCGAGUGGCGAACGGGUGAGUAACACGUGAGUAACCUGCCCUUGACUUUGGGAUAACUUCAGGAAACUGGGGCUAAUACCGGAUAGGAGCUCCUGCUGCAUGGGGGGGGUUGGAAAGUUUCGGCGGUUGGGGAUGGACUGGCGGCUUAUCAGCUUGUUGGUGGGGUAGUGGCUUACCAAGGCUUUGACGGGUAGCCGGCCUGAGAGGGUGACCGGCCACAUUGGGACUGAGAUACGGCCCAGACUCCUACGGGAGGCAGCAGUGGGGAAUAUUGCACAAUGGGCGGAAGCCUGAUGCAGCAACGCCGCGUGCGGGAUGACGGCCUUCGGGUUGUAAACCGCUUUCGCCUGUGACGAAGCGUGAGUGACGGUAAUGGGUAAAGAAGCACCGGCUAACUACGUG
rnacentral:rRNA from 1 species